GUGGAAGCGUCUGGAAAGGCGCGCGAUACAGGGUGACAGCCCCGUACACAAAAGCGCAUGUGUUGUGAGCUCGAUGAGUAGGGCGGGACACGUGGUAUCCUGUCUGAAUAUGGGGGGACCAUCCUCCAAGGCUAAAUACUCCUGACUGACCGAUAGUGAACCAGUACCGUGAGGGAAAGGCGAAAAGAACCCCGGCGAGGGGAGUGAAAAAGAACCUGAAACCGUGUACGUACAAGCAGUGGGAGCACAGGUUUACCUGUGUGACUGCGUACCUUUUGUAUAAUGGGUCAGCGACUUAUAUUCUGUAGCAAGGUUAACUGUAUAGGGGAGCCGGA
rnacentral:rRNA from 1 species